rnacentral:rRNA from 1 species
AGAGUUUGAUCCUGGCUCAGAUUGAACGCUGGCGGAAUGCUUUACACAUGCAAGUCGAACGGCAGCACGGGAGCUUGCUCCUGGUGGCGAGUGGCGAACGGGUGAGUAAUAUAUCGGAACGUACCCAGUCGUGGGGGAUAACUCUCCGAAAGGAGAGCUAAUACCGCAUACGUCCUGAGGGGGAAAGCGGGGGAUCGCAAGACCUCGCGCGAUUGGAGCGGCCGAUAUCGGAUUAGCUAGUUGGUGAGGUAAAGGCUCACCAAGGCGACGAUCCGUAGCGGGUCUGAGAGGACGGCCCGCCACACUGGAACUGAGACACGGUCCAGACUCCUACGGGAGGCAGCAGUGGGGAAUUUUGGACAAUGGGGGCAACCCUGAUCCAGCCAUUCCGCGUGAGUGAAGAAGGCCUUCGGGUUGUAAAGCUCUUUCAGCUGGAGCGAAACGGUACGCUCUAACAUAGCGUGCUAAUGACGGUACCAGCAGAAGAAGCACCGGCUAACUACGUGCCAGCAGCCGCGGUAAUACGUAGGGUGCGAGCGUUAAUCGGAAUUACUGGGCGUAAAGCGUGCGCAGGCGGAUUGUUAAGCAAGACGUGAAAUCCCCGGGCUUAACCUGGGAAUGGCGUUUUGAACUGGCAGUCUAGAGUGCGUCAGAGGGGGGUGGAAUUCCACGUGUAGCAGUGAAAUGCGUAGAGAUGUGGAGGAACACC